CGCGCGGUGGAGCAGCCCGGUAGCUCGCGAGGCUCAUAACCUCGAGGUCGCAGGUUCGAAUCCUGCCCGCGCCA
rnacentral:tRNA from 1 species